CUAAAUAGGUACACUAAAAGCAUGAACUAAAAUAUCUUAUUCUUUAGACACUACUGAUCGCCCACAACCAUUAUCAAAAUUAAUUCAAAUUUCAUUCGUCAUACUCAUUCGCAAGUCUAAAUAAUGAGCUGUCAAAAUGAACAUUACAUUUGUUGACGGAUAGUCGUCACCGGCGACCUGGACAAUGAUUAUGAUGACGACCGAUGUGUCGAACGUGUUAAACAUCAGUAAGGUUAUUGUUAUAAUCGUUAUUAAAUUGGAUUUUUCGUUCUACUAAUGAAUGGGUAGUUCAUAAAUUAGUGUUGAUUAAUCCAGAUGUUAUUGUAACAGUCUACAUACCUAUAGGCAAUCGUAAAUUGAUGUUGUGAAAUAAAGUUUCUGAAAAGUGAUAAUCAAUUGCCAUUGUUGCUUAUGGACCUAUAACACAUUGCUAAUAUUAUACUAAAACACUGAGUAGCCGAUGAUCCAAGGUCUUUACCAAAAUCACUAUGUUUAGUUCCUUUCUUAUAAUAAAGAACUAAACUGUUUUUAAUUAAACAACAUAACUAAGAUGGCAAAAAAUAAACGGCCAGAUAACUCCAGGACAAUCAAAUUAGCAGCAAAGCAGUAAUUAAGGAAAAAUUCCAUCAAACAACACCAAUAACUAAGUAUACAAUCCAUAAAAACAAGAAAACACAACCUAAAGGAAAAAAUGAAAGAGACUAUAAAUAGUAUAGGUUAAUUAAAUU